UGUGCUAUACUUGUAAAGUUGACUUGCUCAACCCUUGGUGCUUAGCUUCUUUCACCAAGCAUAUUACACGUGGCAAAGCCGCUAAAGGAGAAAAUAUG
rnacentral:ncRNA from 2 species